UUGGAGGGCAAGUCUGGUGCCAGCAGCCGCGGUAAUUCCAGCUCCAAUAGCGUAUAUUAAAGUUGUUGCAGUUAAAAAGCUCGUAGUUGAAUUUCGGGGUCAGUAGGUUGGUCGUGCCACUGGUAUGUACUGGUCUCACUGAUUCCUCCUUCCUGAUGAGCUGUAAUGCCAUUAAUUUGGUGUUGCAGGGAAUCUGGACUGUUACUUUGAAAAAAUUAGAGUGUUUAAAGCAGGCUAACGCUUGAAUACAUUAGCAUGGAAUAAUGAAAUAGGACGUUCGAUCCUAUUUUGUUGGUUUCUAGGAUUGACGUAAUGAUUAAUAGGGAUAGUUGGGGGCAUUAGCAUUCAAUUGUCAGAGGUGAAAUUCUUGGAUUUAUUGAAGACUAACUACUGCGAAAGCAUUUGCCAAGGAUGUUUUCAUUAAUCAAGAACGAAAGUUAGGGGAUCGAAGACGAUCAGAUACCGUCGUGGUCUUAACCAUAAACUAUGCCGACUAGGGAUCGGAUGAUGUUAAUUUUUUAAUGACUCAUUCGGCGCCUUACGGGAAAC
rnacentral:rRNA from 1 species